rnacentral:rRNA from 1 species
GACGUAGGGCGCGAGCGUGUCCGGAUUUAUUGGGCGUAAAGAGCUCGUAGGCGGCCUGUUACGUCUGCUGUGAAAUCCCGGGGCUUAACCCCGGGCGUGCAGUGGAUACGGGCAGGCUGGAGGCAGGCAGGGGAGAACGGAAUUCCCGGUGUAGCGGUGAAAUGCGCAGAUAUCGGGAGGAACACCGGUGGCGAAGGCGGUUCUCUGGGCCUGUACUGACGCUGAGGAGCGAAAGCGUGGGGAGCGAACAGG